rnacentral:rRNA from 1 species
UACGUAGGGGGCAAGCGUUGUCCGGAUUUAUUGGGCGUAAAGAGCGUGUAGGCGGCCAGACAGGUCCGUUGUGAAAACUCGAGGCUCAACCUCGAGAUGUCGAUGGAAACCGUCUGGCUAGAGUCCGGAAGAGGAGUGUGGAAUUCCUGGUGUAGCGGUGAAAUGCGCAGAUAUCAGGAGGAACACCGGUGGCGAAGGCGGCUCUCUGGGUCGGACCUGACGCUGAGGCGCGAAAGCUAGGGGAGCAAACGGG